rnacentral:rRNA from 1 species
AUGAAUUGACGGGGGCCCGCACAAGCGGUGGAGCAUGUGGUUUAAUUCGAUGCAACGCGAAGAACCUUACCUGGUCUUGACAUCCACGGAAGUUUUCAGAGAUGAGAAUGUGCCUUCGGGAACCGUGAGACAGGUGCUGCAUGGCUGUCGUCAGCUCGUGUUGUGAAAUGUUGGGUUAAGUCCCGCAACGAGCGCAACCCUUAUCCUUUGUUGCCAGCGGUCCGGCCGGGAACUCAAAGGAGACUGCCAGUGAUAAACUGGAGGAAGGUGGGGAUGACGUCAAGUCAUCAUGGCCCUUACGACCAGGGCUACACACGUGCUACAAUGGCGCAUACAAAGAGAAGCGACCUCGCGAGAGCAAGCGGACCUCAUAAAGUGCGUCGUAGUCCGGAUUGGAGUCUGCAACUCGACUCCAUGAAGUCGGAAUCGCUAGUAAUCGUGGAUCAGAAUGCCACGGUGAAUACGUUCCCGGGCCUUGUACACACCGCCCGUCACACCAUGGGAGUGGGUUGCAAAAGAAGUAGGUAGCUUAACCUUCGGGAGGGCGCUUACCACUUUGUGAUUCAUGACUGGGGUGAAGUCGUAACAAGGUAACCGUAGGGGAACCUGCGGUUGGAUCACCUCCUU